rnacentral:rRNA from 1 species
UGAGGGUAGGGGUGAAAGGCUAAUCAAAUUCCGUGAUAGCUCGUUCUCUCCGAAAUAGCUUUAGGGCUAGCCUCGCGUGGUCCGUCCCGGUGGUAGAGAUCUGAAUGAACUAGGGGCCUUCCCAGGUUACCGAAUUCAACCAAACUUCGAAUGCCGGGAAUGAGCAGCGCGGGAGUCAGACAGCGGGGGCUAAGCUUCGUUGUCAAAAGGGGAAGAGCCCAGACCAUCAACUAAGGUCCCUAAAUUCAUGCUAAGUGGGAAAGGAAGUCGGGAGCCUCAGACAGCCAGGAGGUUGGCUUAGAAGCAGCCAUCCUUUAAAGAAAGCGUAAUAGCUCACUGGUCGAGGACCCCGGUGCCGACAAUCCAACGGGGCUCAAGCAUGAUACCGAAGUUAUGGAUGCGCAGCAAUGCGCGUGGUAGGAGAGCGUUCCGACCGCAGCGAAGGUGUACCGAAAGGAGCAUUGGAGCGGUCAGAAGAGACUCUGCCAGCAUAAGUAGCGAGAAACCAAGUGAGAACCUUGGUCGCCGAAAGUCUAAGGAUUCCUGAGAAAGGUUAAUCCGCUCAGGGUUAGUCGGAGCCUAAGGUGAGGCCGAAAGGCGUAGCCGAUGGACAUACGGUUAAUAUUCCGUAACUGCCUUGUUUUUCGAUGCGGGGACGCAGCGUCGAGCUCCUGGUGAGCAAUGGUUACGAUCCAGGGGGGAGAUGAAGGCCGGAUAGGCAAAUCCGCCGGUCUGACUGCCGGGAAAAGCCGCUAAGGUUAGGAAUGAGGCAUCCGUACCACAAACCGACACAGGUGGACGAGUAGAACAUACUCAGGCGCUCGGGUGAUGGAUUGUUCAGGAACUAGGCAAAUUAGCUCCGUAACUUCGGGAGAAGGAGUGCCCCUGUAAAGGGGGCCGCAGUGAAUAGCGUCAGGCGACUGUUUAACAAAAACACAGGUCUCUGCUAAGUCGAAAACGACGUAUAGGGGCUGACGCCUGCCCGGUGCCGGAAGGUUAAAGGGAGAGGUCAGCGCAAGCGAAGCUUUGAACUGAAGCCCCGGUGAACGGCGGCCGUAACUAUAACGGUCCUAAGGUAGCGAAAUUCCUUGUCGGGUAAGUUCCGACCUGCACGAAUGGCGUAACGAUCUGACGACUGUCUUAACAAUCUGCCCGGCGAACUUGUGGUUCCGGUGAAGACGCCGGAUGCCCGCAUCAAGACGGAAAGACCCCGUGCACCUUUACUAUACCCUAUCAAUGAACUAUGGGGUGCUCUGCGCAGGAUAGGUGGGAGGCUUAGAACCCGGUUUUUUGGAAUCGGGGGAGCCAACGGUGAGAUACCACCCUGAGCAUUCUGUGGUUCUAACUUACUUCCCUAAACGGGAAGAAGGACAUUGGUAGGCGGGUAGUUUGACUGGGGCGGUCGCCUCCUAAAAUGUAACGGAGGCGCUCGAAGCUUGGUUCAGGAGGCUUGGAAAUCCUCCAUCGAGUGCAAAGGCAUAAACCAGGUUGACUGCGAGACCAACAAGUCAAGCAGGUGCGAAAGCAGGACUUAGUGAUCCGGUGGUUCUGAAUGGAAGGGCCAUCGCUCAACGGAUAAAAGGUACGCCGGGGAUAACAGGCUGA